CAGAUUGCAAGGCCCUCAGACCACUGUGAAGACUUUGGCUUUUCCUCUGGAGGACCAUACGCAGAGGGGUGACAUGAUCUGAAUUACAUCUUAACAGGACCACCCUGAUUGCUGGGUUGAGAACGGAUCGAAGGGAGGCCAUGACAGCAACGGACAGAGCACUAGGAGGGCUGAAAUAAUUCAGAAGAGCAAUGAUAGAUAAUGCUGGCAGGUUUGGUGAUGAGAACUGCAGGGACCUUGGCGCCGUGUGGAAAUAGGAAGACAGAGGACGCUGAGAACACCAGCCGGGUCUCCGACACCCGUGGGCAUCACGGGUCCUGAUCACGCUCGAGAGGACCGAAGGCUGAGAUGGAGAGCCUAGGGAUGGCCGGCUGUGCACUCCUGGAGCUGUGCCCACCUGCAGGGAUGGGUGACAUGAAGGAGAGAUUCAACACUUUCUUCAGAAAUGAAACAGAGUGGGAACAUAUUUUAAGAAAAGCGGCCAACUGUCAACUCUUCUGUCAACACUGAGAGUUUAUGCUUUUCUCCAAUGUCCUUCAAUAAUCACAAUAAUCUGCACAACACUGUGUCUCUGAAUGAUGGGGGUUUUUUUAUAGAAAUAAAAAUAGCCAACAU